ensembl:lncRNA
UAUAUACAUAUAUACAUAUAUACAUAUGUAAAUGUACAUAUGUACUCUCAUGAACUAAUGUUUUUAUUUUUAUUUUUAUUUUUUUAAAACAAAAUUUUCGUUGUACAGGAUGGUGGGUAAAAGUUGGUCAAUUUUUAAGCACUCAAGAAAAUAUAAUGCCAGGAGCAUAUAUAGAAAAAUUUACGAAAUUACAAGACAUGAUGCCUACUUCUUCUUAUGAUAAAAUAGAAACAAUUUUAAUAAAGGAAUUAGGUUAUUUUUUUUAUCACAUUGUGUAUGUGUAUGUAAUAUGUAAAUGUACGUAUGUGUAAAUGUAUGUACAUGCAUAUAUUUGUUUUUUCUUUUUCGAUUACUUAUAAAAUUAUUCCCUAACCCCUUUUUUUUCAUAAAAAUGCAGGAAAUAUCGACGACAUUUUUGAAUAUAUUAAUAAAGAACCAUUAGCUAGUGCAUCAAUAGGACAAGUGCAUUUGGCGAAAUUAAAAAAUUAUGAUAAUUGUAUGAUAGUUCAUAAAAAAAAUGAAAAAAAAAAAGAUUAUAAUGUAAUAAUAAAAAUACAACAUGAAGGUAUUGAUGAAUUUUUAUACUCAGAUAUAAAUACAUUAAAAAAAGUAUCAUGGGCAGUAGGUUUAAUUGAUAAAAGUUUUUAUUUUACAGAUUUUAUAAACGAAUGGCAAAGUUCUGCUUCUCGUGAAUUGAAUUAUAAUUACGAGUUAUAUCACCAACUAUUAGCUUAUAAUACAUAUAAAAAAUCAAAUAUACCUGUAUAUAUACCUAAAAUAUGUUGUGCAUAUAGUACACCGAAAGUAUUAGUUAUGGAAUAUAUUAAAGGAUUUAAAAUUACAGAUUAUAAUGCUAUAAUGAAAUAUAAUAUAAAUAUGUAUGAUAUAAUAUAUAACAUUAUUGAUUAUUUUGCUUACCAAAUUCAUUAUGAUGGUUUUUUUCAUGGUGAUCCACAUCCAGGUAAUAUUCUUAUUAUGAUAAAAAAAAAUAACAAUAAAAGUACUGGUAGCUAUAUACAUAAGGUAAAGAAAAAGAAAAAUAUAUAUAAUUAUAAAUAUACUUGUAAAAAUAAUUAUAAUGAUAUAUAUAAUAUAAAAAAAAAUAAUAAUAAAAAUAAUAAUAAAAAUAAUAAUAAAAAUAAUAAUAAAAAAAAAAUAAAUAAAAAAUUAUAUAAAAUGCAAAAUAAUAAACAUUUUUAUGUAAAUAAUUAUGAUUAUACUGACUCAAAAAAAUAUACAAAAAAAUCAAGUUCUUUUUCUGAAGAGUCAAUUGAAACUUUUGUAGAUUCAAGAUAUAAUAUUUCAAAAAUGAUAGAAGAUGCAGCUAAUGAAAAAACGAAAAAAUUACAAUCAAUAAGUUAUAAUAGUAAUAAAAAGAAAAAAAAAAAAGAAAAAAAUUUAACAGAUAAAGUGUUAAAACAUGACUAUAAUUAUAUGUUUAAUGAUCAUAAUAAAGUUAAUAAAAAAAAAACUGGAAAGGACUUACAAGAAAUAGAGAAGGAGAAAGAUAAAGAGAUAGAGGAGAUAGAGAAAAGGGAACAGUCUGAAAAAAAAAAAUUUAUACAUGAAAAACCCCUUUUAGAACAUGAACAAAGCAAUAAAAAUCAAAUGGAUAAAAAAAAAAAAAAAGAUGAAAACAGUUAUUGGUAUACCCAAAGAACUUUAUUUAAUGAUGAGAAUAAAAGUAGUGAUGAUUUUGGAAUUGGAAACAGUAAGGAAAAGCAGAAGGGAGAAGAAAAAAAAAAGAAGGGAGAAGAAAAAAAAAAGAAGGGAGAGGAAAAAAAAGAAAAAAAAGAGGAAAAAAAAGACAAAGAAAGGGAGAAAAAAGAACAGGAAAAAACAGAACGGGAAAAAAAAAAGAACGAUAAAAAUAUCAAGACUUAUAAAUUCGUUCCAGUUAUUAUAGAUUGGGGUUUAAUAAAACAAUUUAAUAAAAAUAUGCAAUUAGCAUGUAGCAAACUUAUGUAUAAUAUAAACUGUAUGAAUUUUAUUAAUAUAAUAGAAGCAUUGGAAGAUAUGGGUUUUAGCUUAAAAAAUGAUUUCACAUAUGAUCCCGAAAUAUACAUUGAUAAUUUGAAAAAAUUCUUUUUAAGUAAAUUAGAAGAAACACAUAAUAAAGAUAAUAAUAUGGAAAAAAUUGGUUCAGAUCCAAUUAAUAAUGUUUCAAAUAAUUUGAAUGUUAUGACUAGUAGUUAUGUCGCCGAAACAAAGAAUGUUAACAAAUCAAAUAUUA